UACAGAGGUCUCAAGCGUUGUUCGGAUUCAUUGGGCGUAAAGGGUGCGUGAGGCGGCGCGGUAAAGUCCGGGUGUGAAAUCUCGGGGCUUAACUCCGAAACUGCAUUCGAUACUGCCGUGCUUGAGGACUGGAGAGGAGACUGGAAUUUACGGUGUAGCGGUGAAAUGCGUAGAUAUCGUAAGGAAGACCAGUGGCGAAGGC
rnacentral:rRNA from 1 species